UAAUCAAGAAAAGCAUGCAGAACGGAAAAAGCAAGCAUGCUGAUUUUCAGGUUUCUGAAUCUUGCGAGAUUUGACGGAGCGCCUUCGCGAUGAAUCGUAACUGAAAAAGCGGAAACGGUGAUUACUCGGCGCCAAGACGUCGCCGGGCCAUUAAUACCGCACUUAUCAAACACCAAUAUGACGGCGGGAGAGAAAUUGCGCUAUAAACCAAUGUAACUUCGCCUUCGGCAAUGCGAUUGAGACGGUAGGAAAACAACAAGAUGAAAUUUCCCGCGGACCGGCAAAAAAGUUUCGCGGACCGGCGGUUGGGAACCACUGGUCUACUCUAUAGAGAAGGUUAAUCGUUUUCAGUCCUCAUAUAAACUGUAUAAGCGUGAUUAGAAUAGGAAUAGCGAAAAUGAAAAGCUGCAGCUUACUGAUAAACGCCGUUAUUUGAGCUAAUAUUAGAACAGACCAGACAGACUCGCAGCUAAAGCAGUAGUAUCAAACUGAGAUAUCUCAAGAAAUAGCAGUUGAUAUAUUUGCAUUCUCACUAUCUGUGAUAACUUGGAAAUGCAACUCAAUGUAUCUAUUUGUUUAUACAGCUGCAGUCAAGCGAUGAUUGUUGUUGGGGUUUAAAUCUGACGCCAAUCAUUGCUGUGUUGUAGAUAUAGUGUGAUAUGGGAGAAAGACAUGAUACAAUGAAAACGUUUGUGACGCAUGGAACUGCAUGAAAAAUAAAGCUUCAUUUAGAAAUACCUUUGAUAGAAAUUUCAAGUGUGGAAUAAGGACAGAUCGCAUGCUGUACAGGAACGAACUAAUUUUUACAACGUACCCAUGAGAAUCGUACUUCAGAUCUUCGUAUAAGACGUACAAAACAUUUGACUUCUCUUUGCUCAUAGC